rnacentral:snRNA from 1 species
AUCUGUUCUUAUCGGUUUAAUAUCUGAUAUGUACCCUGCCCGGGGGACUGCAUAUUAAAUGGAUUUUUGGAUCACGAAGCUGGAGCUGGGGCUUGCUCCGUCCACUCCACACAUCGGCCUGGUAUUGCAGUGUCUCCAGAAACGGUGU